UCCCUUCUAGCUCAGUUGGUAAAGAGUCUGCCUGCAAUGCAGAAGACCCAGGUUCAAUUCCUGGGUCGGGAA
rnacentral:tRNA from 1 species